UACGACGGGGGCUAGCGUUGUUCGGAUUUACUGGGCGUAAAGCGCACGUAGGCGGAUCGAUCAGUCAGGGGUGAAAUCCCAGAGCUCAACUCCAGAACUGCCUUCGAUACUGGCGAUCUCGAGUUCGGGAGAGGUGAGUGGAACUGCGAGUGUAGAGGUGAAAUUCGUAGAUAUUCGCAAGAACACCAGUGGCGAAGGCGGCUCACUGGCCCGAUACUGACGCUGAGGUGCGAAAGCGUGGGGAGCAAACAGG
rnacentral:rRNA from 1 species